rnacentral:rRNA from 1 species
UACGAAGGGGGCUAGCGUUGCUCGGAAUCACUGGGCGUAAAGCGCACGUAGGCGGAUCUUUAAGUCAGGGGUGAAAUCCUGGAGCUCAACUCCAGAACUGCCUUUGAUACUGAAGAUCUUGAGUUCGGGAGAGGUGAGUGGAACUGCGAGUGUAGAGGUGAAAUUCGUAGAUAUUCGCAAGAACACCAGUGGCGAAGGCGACUCACUGGCCCGAUACUGACGCUGAGGCACGAAAGCGUGGGGAGCAAACAGG